UACGUAGGGGGCAAGCGUUUGUCCGGAAUUAUUGGGCGUAAAGAGCGCGUAGGCGGUCCGAUAAGUCGGCUGUGAAAGUCCAGGGCUCAACCCUGGAAAGCCGGCCGAUACUGUCGGACUAGAGUCCGGAAGAGGCGAGUGGGAAUUCCCCGGUGUAGCGGUGAAAUGCGCAGAUAUCGGGAGGAACACCAAUGGCGAAGGCAGCUCGCUGGGGACGGUACUGACGCUGAGGCGCGAAAGCGUGGGGGAGCAAACA
rnacentral:rRNA from 1 species